CCGCACCUGCCCUCCUGCCAGGUGGUCAUGGGCCUCACUUGGUCCAAUUUUGUCCAGGUCACCAGUGGUUUCAGAUUUGGAUGAGAAGAUAAUGGCUUCACCUUGGAUGCUCUGGGCCGAUGCACUUGGGGAAGAUUCUGUGAGCUUUUGGAUUCUGGGAAGAGUCGGCAUCCAGUAGGCAGUAAGCCCUGGAUUCUUCCGGCAGUGGAGAGGGAGGAGGUGCUGACGAAAUCUCACAGGGAAGCUGAUGAGAAGCAACAGCCAAGAACUGCCCACUCGUGGGAGCAGCCUGUCUCUUCCCACCUCUGCCAGGAGGGUGUGGUCACCAGAAUUCCCCAGCUGGACAAAGGAGGUCGAGGGAAGGUCACCCCUCCCAGCAAGGAAUCAGCGGACAGUGGAGCAUAGCAAGGAAAUCCUCCCACCACUCAAAUUAGAACAAAAGGCCAGCAUUCCUCUGCAAGAGACUGGAGAACCUGGCGUGUAUCUGUGUAAGAAAACCCUCUGUGGAGAGCUGGUAGGGCCAUAUGGCCCCCAAAGAACAAAAUAGAAUAAGCCGCCUCCCGCCCCACCCUGCUCCGUGAGUGGAGUGAUCACAUCUUCCGCACCCAAAAUUGAAACACGUGGUUUGACAAAGGAUUUCUGGGCUCUUGCUAGAUACACAAGGGGGUUUGAAGGAUUCCAUCUGAAUGUCAAAAUGGCAGGAAAUCCACAUCCUGCAGGUGAAGCUGACUUUGAAAACAGGACUGCUCUGGGACUCCAGAGUGAGUCUCCUCCACAGACACAAGGGUUGGUCCUGCCUGACCCCAGAUAUCCAGCCUUCCCCCUCACCUGCUACCUUGCCCAUUACCUGAGGCCUGGGCUGCAGGGUGCCCACCCCCAUCCUUGAUGCAGCAACAAGGACUGAACGUCCCUGGCUCAGCAUGGAGCUGGUGCCAAGAGCAGCCCACCAGGCAGAGGAAGAGAACUGAAUCCACCACUACUGCGGAGGGAAACGAUGCAAUUCAUAAAAAGCAUCAGACCCUCCCCGGCCCCGGCAUCACUGCAGGUGGAGACAGACCCCAAACAGGUGCCUGGGCUUCCACUACAAAUCACCCUAUUGGGAAAAAAAGGGUGAAAGAUCUCUAUAAUGGAAAACCAUGACUCAGUUCUGUUGGUUUGUUUGUUUUUUAAGGCAAAGCUCUCAGCUCUGCAAAACAAUCCCAGGGUCCUUAUAAUUUAAUCAAAAGGUGGGGCAUUUGGUCCACCCUGAAGAGCCAGGCAUCAUUUUCUGGAUGUCUGUUCAGCUGGAAGGAGAAUGAAUCUCUUCCUUUCUAAAACAAUAAAAAG
rnacentral:lncRNA from 1 species